AACAGAUCACAAGUCACUCGAAGCUAUAUUCAAAAAACCACUGAAUAAAUGUCCUAUGCGUUUACAAAGACUCAGAAUUACCUUACAAAAUUAUGAUUUGAAUGUUAGAUAUAAACCAGGAGCAUUAAUGUAUUUUGCCGAUACUUUGUCGCGUGCUUAUUAUGAUGACAAAAAUUUUGACAUCAUUGAAAAUGAUUUAGAAGCUCAGGUUGGUAUUAUUGAAUUCAAUAGUAUUAGUCCUCAAAAAUUUGAUAUAUUGAGAAUAGAAACUGAAAGAGACAUUGAACUAAUGGAAGUUAUGAAUUACAUAAAAAAUGGGUGGCCUCGAGAUAAAAAUCAGGUAACUCAAUUGGCAAUGCCUUUCUGGAGUGUGAGGGAUGAACUAGUUGAACAGAGAGGUGUAAUUUUCAAGGGUAAUCAGAUGGUUAUUCCAAAAAACAUGAGGGAUGAUAUCAAAGCUAGGUUACAUUACAAUCAUAUGGGCACUGAGAAAACGUUAUUACGAGCUCGCGAUAUGGUCUAUUGGCCAUUUAUGAAUAAAGAAAUAUCUGACACUGUGGGAAAUUGUUCUUCAUGUCGUAGAUUUCAAAAUAGUAAUCAGAGGGAACCUUUGUUAAGUAGAGAUAUUCCCACUCGUCCAUGGCAUACUGUGGCAGCUGAUUUUUUUUAUCUCGAUGGAAAGCAAUUUUUGUUGCUGGUAGAUACUUACUCAAAAUUUCCUGAAAUUAGAUGUUUAGAUAAUGAUACAACCAGUAAAAGAGUAAUUGAUGCCGUAAAAUCUGUUUUUGCCAUUCAUGGUAAACCAGAUAUUUUCUAUAGUGAUAAUGGUCCACAAUUCGCAAAUUUUGAAUUUCAGCAGUUUCUCAAAGAGUGGGAAGUUAUUCAUAAAACUAAUUCGCCAACAUAUUCUCAAUCUAAUGGUUUCAUUGAAAGACAUGUACAAACAGUAAAGAAAAUGUUUAAAAAGGCUUUAUUUGAUGGUAAAGAUUUACAUUUAACACUUCUGGAAUACAGAAAUACACCAAUCGGUCGAGAUACUCCAUCUCCGGCACAACUUUUGUUUGGUCGCACUCUCAAAGGUCAUGUACCUGUAAGAGAAAAUCUUUUGAAGCCUAGGAAUUAUCAUAAAAAUAUGAAUAAAGUUUUCGUAAAUAAUCAAUAUAAACAAAAAUUAUAUUAUAAUAGAAAUGUAAGAAACUUACCUCAUAUAAAAACUGGUGACCAUGUAAUGGUUCAAUUUGGAAGUGUUUGGGAACCAGCAUAAGUUAUUAGAGUUGACAGAAAUAGACCUCGAUCAUUCGUUGUUAAAUUAAAUAAAAAUGGUAGAAUUUACUUGAGAAACAGAAGAUUUUUGAAGAAAAUUUUCUCAAAUUUCUGCAGUGGCACAUCUGAUACAGAGUGUGAUUUGUCUUGUAAUGAUAACGAAAAUCAAAAUAUUGAGAAUGAAGAAGUUAAUGUGAAUAAUGAUAUUUUGGAAAAUGAAAAUGAACCAGGUGGAACACCAAUAAGUGAAACACCAAUAGGUGAAACACCAUUAGGUGAAACACCAAAUGCUGAAGAAGGGGGUGGUAUAUAUAGAACUCGUUUUGGUCGUAUUACAAGAAAACCUUGCCACCUUCAGGAUUAUAUUUAGUUUCAGUUCCUAUGUUGUAAAUGUAAAUGUUCAAAUGUGUUUUAAUUUUGUUUAUUUGAAAAGGGGAAGAUGUAAUGAUAUUAUUCAGUAGAGAUGUAACCGGGGAGAUGGUUCGUUGAGAAAAGUCAGAUUGACAUAGUAUAUUUUGGUACUGAAUUGGAAAUACAUCUUUGUAGUAUUAACAUUUAUUUAAUUGAGAUAAACUCACAACAGGCAAAUCGAAAUGAUAAAUAUAAAAAAGUUCUUGACAGAUUGCCCUCAGUAGCAUCUCUGUUCGAAUCAAGAGAAAUCAUAUAUUCUUCUCUCUCUAAUGCUUUCUCCUCUACGAGCUUCUGAAAAAUCACGUGACACUCGGUCCAUGGUUAUUAGGUCUAUGGCCACAAUACACCGAUAUCGAUGGUCUCUCUCUAAUGCCCAGUCCAUGUUAUUAGCACAGAUUACUAGUCUAGAUUACUUAGUUAGUCUGUGUUAUUAGUGCUUUUCAGUCAGGUGCGUGUCAUCCCGGGGCUCGGUGCUCUAGAGCCCCGCGCCCUCGCUAAGACAGGAAAGCGCCAAGCCCAAAAAAACUGUCAAAUUGAACGUAAACAAUCCAGCGCAGAGAUAGCGUUCAACAGCUGCCUCGUACUUUAUUCAAAGAAAAGGUCUUCUUUCUCUAAAUCUAUAAUUCAGCAUAGAAUGCAGCGCCCUUUCUCCAGCAUUUUGCUGGUACAGCGCUGUCAAGCGCAUCUCUUUCAGCGAGCGCAUUCAACAGCGCUGACUUUCCGAACUCCCCAAUGAUUCUAUGUGAAAACUAACUGUCAUGCGCCAGAAUUCCCUUCAAAUAUGAUUUUGACAUUCAUGUUAAUUUGUUCCAAACAAAAACCAUUUAUGUUUUCUGUUGUUUGUUGUUUCCCAUUUUAAACAUAGAAUCUUUGUUGGAGCUAGCGGUAUUUAUUUCUCAAAAUCUGAACAUUCUAAAUUUGUAAACGAUGUCUUCAGAACAAUUUCUAAUUUCAGAGGGCAAAACAUAACAUCUACAGUACUUCUAGAAAAAUCUGUAAGGAAGUUGGUGUCCAACUUGGUCUAGAAUAUGAAGUUAAUGCAUUGGAUCUAAUUGCUGAACUUGCUUUCAAAAAAUUAUGU